UGCCUGGAGUGAAGAUUCUGCCCAUUGGUCAAGAGACCUCCCUCUCAGAUGCUGGCUCUGCCCCUGCCUUUGGGGGUCGACCCUUGUACUCGCAGGACCUUAGGUGACUCUGACUUUGUCAAAGGAAAAAUUUCUGCAUGUGCACACACAGAUCUUGGAAGUUUAUUCAUCUCAGCAGAGGCAGACAGGAGCAUCAACAGCCUUGGGGACAGCAGCAGUGGUGAUUCUACUUCUCUGAUCAUCCAGGAAACCAAUCUGCCUGAGGACGAGUCAUACUCUGUCCUCCCACCCCAGGCUAGAGAGUGGUAUCUGUCUUUCCACAAGUUGCCACCCCUUCUGCCCUGGGAACCUGAGUUGCCUGUGCUUCAACACUAUUCUUCAUUCUGCCUUUCACAAAAUGUACCACCUAAGUGAUAAUGGAUCUGAAUGAUGCAGUGUUGCAAUCCCAUUUUAUAAAUGAGGCAACCAAAACUCAAACAGGACCAUAUUGUGACUGAAACAAGGCAUAACAGGUCUUUGACUAGCUAUCCUGUGGGUGUGGCCUCAGGGUAGCCUGCAGAAAGUGGUGAGCAAGGUGGUUGGGAAAAUCAAAGGAGGGGGUAAGGUAGUGGCAGGUAACUAUCGAUAAUCUGCUCUUCUUCACAGAAAGACAGGCAAUUAGAUUGAAAAAUACCUGUGAUUCAAAGAAGUCACAAGUCACAGAGACAAACUUUUCCCAGUG
rnacentral:antisense_RNA from 1 species